AUUGAACGCUGGCGGCAGGCCUACCACAUGCAAGUCGAACGAGUGGCGGACGGGUGAGUAAUGUCUGGGAAACUGCCUGAUGGAGGGGGAUAACUACUGGAAACGGUAGCUAAUACCGCAUACCAUCAGAUGUGCCCAGAUGGGAUUAGCUUGUUGGUGGGGUAACGGCUCACCAAGGCGACGAUCCCUAGCUGGGCUGAGAGGAUGACCAGCCACAAUGGAACGGAGACACGGUCCAGACUCCUACGGGAGGCAGCAGUGGGGAAUAUUGGACAAUGGGCGCAAGCCUGAUGCAGCCAUGCCGCGUGUAUGAAGAAGGCCUUCGGGUUGUAAAGUACUUUCAGCGGGGAGGCGUUACCCGCAGAAGAAGCAACGGCAAAAUACGGGCCAGCAGCCGCGGUAAUUC
rnacentral:rRNA from 1 species